AGUGAACGCUGGCGGUAGGCCUAACACAUGCAAGUCGAACGGCAGCACAGUAAGAGCUUGCUCUUACGGGUGGCGAGUGGCGGACGGGUGAGGAAUACAUCGGAAUCUACUUUUUCGUGGGGGAUAACGUAGGGAAACUUACGCUAAUACCGCAUACGACCUACGGGUGAAAGCAGGGGAUCUUCGGACCUUGCGCGAUUGAAUGAGCCGAUGUCGGAUUAGCUAGUUGGCGGGGUAAAGGCCCACCAAGGCGACGAUCCGUAGCUGGUCUGGGAGGAUGAUCAGCCACACUGGAACUGAGACACGGUCCAGACUCCUACGGGAGGCAGCAGUGGGGAAUAUUGGACAAUGGGCGCAAGCCUGAUCCAGCCAUACCGCGUGGGUGAAGAAGGCCUUCGGGUUGUAAAGCCCUUUUGUUGGGAAAGAAAAGCAGCAGGUUAAUACCCCGCUAUUCUGACGGUACCCAAAGAAUAAGCACCGGCUAACUUCGUG
rnacentral:rRNA from 1 species